AGUAACGCGUAUGCAAUCUACCCUGUACUGGGGGAUAGCCCGAAGAAAUUCGGAUUAACACCCCAUAGUAUCUUAAUUUGGCAUCAUUUUAAGAUUAAAGGUUACGGUACAGGAUGAGCAUGCGUCCCAUUAGCUAGAUGGUAAGGUAACGGCUUACCAUGGCUACGAUGGGUAGGGGGCCUGAGAGGGUGGUCCCCCACACUGGUACUGAGACACGGACCAGACUCC
rnacentral:rRNA from 1 species